AUUGUCCCCAGCCAGAAUGUCUUCUUCAGGGAAGCCUCAGUCCUGUUCUGAAGGUCUUUCAACCGAGUGAAUCAGGCUCAUCUAGAUUAUGUAGGAGAACCUCUCCGAAAGAAGUAAAGCAACAUUUCUUCUGGGGAACAAAGUGGUGGUGGCCGCCGUGGAAGCAGAAGGCAAGGGCUUACUGCAUUAUCAGAGGAACCUCUUUGCAGAUAUGCUCUGAGCUGUUUGGAGGCAUGAGAGGGGACAACUGCGGUGAGUGAUAAGGGGGAUCACCUCCAUAAACUGGUGGAGACUGUAUAUGCUGUUGUCCCAUAUUGAGGACAACACUUAUGUUACUUGUGUUACAAAGUCUUCGAGAAGCUCUAUCUCAGAGCUGUUGACUAUGUACGUAGAGCCUGAACAGCUGGUUCCCUUCCACUAAGGAUGCCCUUCCUGAUUCACAUUUCUGCAUCACCUAAGAGACUGUGAAGCCCUCAAGUGUGAUCAUGUAGGCCUCUUCUUUUGGCAUCUAUGCACUUCCUAGAGGAGGGUUCAAAACAUGGCAGGUGCUCAGCAAAUGCUGGUUGAGUAUGUCAUUCAUGGAUCUACUGAAGUGUUCCUAGGUUUGGAUGGAAUGGUCGAGAAAUUAACUUCUUAGUACUUAAAGCUACUAGAAACAUGGAUUCAGAAAUGGUUUCACAGGUAAAAGAUCCAAUAAUGGAUGAGUGUUUUUGAUUUAUAUGAGAAAAGGAUUCAGAUGUGGACCAAGUACUGAGAAAUGGGACGGAUUUUCUAAGGGAAAGCCACUUCUCAUGGGCCUAGGAAAUGAUGCUAAUUGUGACAUCGCAUAAGCCUGGUUCAGAACUAUCGUGACAGUGAGAUCUGCCAGGUAACAGGCAUUUCUGAUGCUUAUCUGGAACCGGAGCUCCACCCUCCCCUAUUCCACACCAGUGGAUGCCAUCUGAGAGUUUGUUCUUCUACAUCAAUCAGGGGUAAGUACCAAGGCUUUGCCUGACCAGUGGUGUCUGACGUGGGUGCAUUCACAGGACGUACAGUCACCUUGGGAAGGACCAGCUUUGACAAAGAAGCCUUUAACGACAGGUUUGCUUAAUGGACCAACAUAGGGCUGGGUCAUUUUCCAGAGCAGUGGUCCGGCUGUUCUUGGAUGGAGGAAGGAGGGUGAGGACUAACACCAUAGAUUGAGCACACUUCCAUGGAGAAUAGAAGAUAAACAUCGGAACAGCUCUUUCUAAAUGUAUUCUAAACACAUUUGUGUUUAAUUGUCAAUAAAACUAGCCUUUUCAUGGUUUUCCUUGUGCUAUUUCUGGCCUGUUAGAUUUUUCUCCCACAGCAAACCAAGGACUCUGGGACCGACGGUGAUAGCUCAUGGCCUGAACCUAACCUGUAGUCAAGCUAGAUGACAAGCAUUUCUGCGGACCCCUUGGAAAAGCUUUCUCUAGUGUGCAGCUCCAGAAACUAAGGGAGAAGAGAGUUGAGCCAAACCUGAUAUGAUAGAAAUGCCCUGGAUUGUAGAUUCAUGGAGAAAGAAUUUUGACUCCGGCCUGUCACUCGGCCUCCAGUUCCACCCUCAUCCUGUUACUCUCAGAUGCUCUCCUGCCUUUCCACACAUCUGCUUUCCAGUCUCCUGUAAUCUCCACCUGGCACCUGACACCUUUUGAAAUCAAUUCACUCAAGAUUCUACCCACAAGAGUUGAUCAUCCGGUUCUUCCAGAUGGAAACCAGCUUGCCCAGGUACACUGCGUUCAUUGGAAAGUCCAGAACCAGCUGAGGAGAGCAGCUCUGCCCAUCUAGGGCAUUUUAGACCUCGGAUGUUUAUUAAGACUUAGAAGUAUCCGCAGAUCCAUCAUUCCUCCCGUGGGUUGCCUGGCUGAGGCAGAUACUCUUAUCGCAGUCUGCAUGUUGUUGAAAAUGCUCCCAUAGAAUGGAACUGAAAUUGGAGAUGACUAUUUUUGGAUUCUAUUUGUUCAUUUCCCAUGAAUACUCCCAGGAGAAAAAAAAAAAGCAACAGAGACUUUGAACAAUAGAUAUACAAUCAGAAUUGUAAGGGAAUAAUCACCUGUUAAUCUCUUCUUUAUUAAAAUUUAAAAGCAUUGGGCUGGAUAUAGUUUCGCUUCCAUGACCAGUAAAGUCACAACACUCGAUGGGUGUUAUUUUAUGUACGUGACCCGACACAGUCAGUGAUACAUUACUUGGUACUUCUCUGUGUCAUCCAGUACAAAUUUAGAAAAUGCCAAUUGGGUCAUGAUUCCUUCCAUUCUUUGGUUUCCCCACUGCUGUUGGGCCAGCAGACCCAUGAAUUUCUUCCCUUCACACUCACCAUGCGGCAUCCAUGACCCGAAACACCGACACACAGCUCGCGGUCCCCACGGUCUGCAGACCUCAGAUCUCCACUGGAAUGUCCCCUCCUCUGGGAGGUCUUGUCUGGUCACUCUGCUCUUUGCUUUCAGAGACUCUAUCAGGAUGGGAGAUCGCAUAUUCCCGAGCCCGGUUACUCAUUUAACACAGCUUCGCAAGAGCUGGAAUCCUUCUGGUUGUGUCCAUUUCUUUGUCCAGAGCAACGCAUGAAUGAUUAUCCGGAUGUUUCAGGGGAGAGUGGAACUGGGGCAAUGAGGACGAAUCAAGAUGUCACCACACGUCUGAAAACUGGCCUCCAACCUUCUGUGGGAUUUUCUCAACAGUUUCAGAUGUACUGCAUAAUGAUUCAAUAUCUGUACAUCCUGUAAAGUGAUCACCGCAAUAAGUCCAGUUAACAUCCUCAUCAUCCAUAGUUCCGGAACUUUCUUCUUGUGAUGAGAACUGGUAAGAUCUACUCUCUGGGGGCACCUGGGUGGCUCAGUUGGUUAAGUGUCUGCCUUCAGCCCGGAUUGUGAUCCUGGAGUCCUAGGAUCAAGCCUCACA